AGUGAACGCUGGCGGCAGGCCUAACACAUGCAAGUCGAACGGCAGCACAGUAAGAGCUUGCUCUUACGGGUGGCGAGUGGCGGACGGGUGAGGAAUACAUCGGAAUCUACUUUUUCGUGGGGGAUAACGUAGGGAAACUUACGCUAAUACCGCAUACGACCUACGGGUGAAAGCAGGGGAUCUUCGGACCUUGCGCGAUUGAAUUAGCCGAUGUCGGAUUAGCUAGUUGGCGGGGUAAAGGCCCACCAAGGCGACGAUCCGUAGCUGGUCUGAGAGGAUGAUCAGCCACACUGGAACUGAGACACGGUCCAGACUCCUACGGGAGGCAGCAGUGGGGAAUAUUGGACAAUGGGCGCAAGCCUGAUCCAGCCAUACCGCGUGGGUGAAGAAGGCCUUCGGGUUGUAAAGCCCUUUUGUUGGGAAAGAAAAGCAGCAGGUUAAUACCCCGCUGUUCUGACGGUACCCAAAGAAUAAGCACCGGCUAACUUCGUG
rnacentral:rRNA from 1 species